rnacentral:rRNA from 1 species
AUGGGUUCGGAGACGUUCGUGGAGAUCCUGCUGGCCAUCCUGCUGCCGCCGGUCGGCGUCUUCCUCCGCUACGGCAUCGGCGUGGAGUUCUGGAUCUGCCUGCUGCUCACGGUGCUGGGCUACAUCCCCGGCAUCAUCUACGCCAUCUUCGUCCUCGUCGCAUAG